AUCGAACGCUGGCGGAAUGCUUUACACAUGCAAGUCGAACGGCAGCACGGGGGCAACCCUGGUGGCGAGUGGCGAACGGGUGAGUAAUACAUCGGAACGUGCCCAGUCGUGGGGGAUAACGUAGCGAAAGUUACGCUAAUACCGCAUACGAUCUAUGGAUGAAAGCGGAGGACCGUAAGGCCUCGCGCGAUUGGAGCGGCCGAUGUCAGAUUAGGUAGUUGGUGGGGUAAAGGCUCACCAAGCCGACGAUCUGUAGCUGGUCUGAGAGGACGACCAGCCACACUGGGACUGAGACACGGCCCAGACUCCUACGGGAGGCAGCAGUGGGGAAUUUUGGACAAUGGGCGCAAGCCUGAUCCAGCCAUUCCGCGUGCAGGAUGAAGGCCCUCGGGUUGUAAACUGCUUUUGUACGGAACGAAACGGUGCUCUCUAAUACAGGGCGCUAAUGACGGUAGUCGGAGAAGAAGCCCCGGCUAACUUCGUGCCAGCCGCCGCGGUAAUAC
rnacentral:rRNA from 1 species